rnacentral:rRNA from 1 species
GACGAACGCUGGCGGCGUGCCUAAUACAUGCAAGUCGAGCGCGGGAAAUCGACGGAACCCUUCGGGGGGAAGUCGACGGAAUGAGCGGCGGACGGGUGAGUAACACGUAAAGAACCUGCCCUCAGGUCUGGGAUAACCACGAGAAAUCGGGGCUAAUGCCGGAUGGGUCAUCGGACCGCAUGGUCCGAGGAUGAAAGGCGCUUCGGCGUCGCCUGGGGAUGGCUUUGCGGUGCAUUAGCUAGUUGGUGGGGUAAUGGCCCACCAAGGCGACGAUGCAUAGCCGACCUGAGAGGGUGAUCGGCCACACUGGGACUGAGACACGGCCCAGACUCCUACGGGAGGCAGCAGUAGGGAAUCUUCCACAAUGGACGAAAGUCUGAUGGAGCAACGCCGCGUGAACGAUGAAGGCCUUCGGGUCGUAAAGUUCUGUUGUAAGGGAAGAACAAGUGCCGCAGGCAGUGGCGGCACCUUGACGGUACCUUGCGAGAAAGCCACGGCUAACUACGUGCCAGCAGCCGCAGUAA